UACAGAGGUCCCGAGCGUUGUUCGGAUUCAUUGGGCGUAAAGGGUGCGUGAGGCGGUCUGCUAAGUUUGAUGUGAAAUCCCGGGGCUCAACCCUGGAAUGGCAUUGAAUACUGGUGGACUAGAGUACUGGAGAGGAAACUGGAAUUUACGGUGUAGCAGUGAAAUGCGUAGAGAUCGUAAGGAAGACCAGUGGCGAAGGCGAGUUUCUGGACAGUAACUGACGCUGAGGCACGAAGGCCAGGGGAGCAAACGGG
rnacentral:rRNA from 1 species